ACACAGAUUCAGCAAACCUUCCACUGUGGCAUGGUAGAGAACCCCAGGCUAAGGAUUAACAGACAUUCUGAAUUUGCAAACCAGAAAGAGCUGCACUUCAUCACUGCUUCAAGAAGGCACCUGGGACGGGAAGGCCUUCUGCUUUUCUGUCUUCCUCUCUGUGCUGUGAAGACGCAAGAACGAAGCGUAAGCAGCUGUGCUUGGUCAGAGGAAGGGUUCCGGGAAAGCCACACAGAAGAGAUAGCAUUGGACUGCGACCAGGACUAAAAAGAUGAUGUUGCCUUGGCAGACAACUGGAAAAACAUCAUAAGCAGAGAGAACAAUGUCUAAAAUAUCAACCAAGGUAUUUUGCAACCAGUUACGACUCUGAUUCUGAUUUUCAUGCUUCCUACCUCUUUCACCUUGGAGUACUGCACUCCCCUCAAUCCUCACCCAAGCUGUUGGGUUGACACAGGAGGAAAGUGAAGCCCAGAGGACAUAAUUUAUCUCCCUCCUUGAUACUGGCAUAUGAAGAAGCUGAGACAGAAGCUGAAGGAAUGGCCACAGGCGCCAAGGAUGGCCAAGGAGGCCCUUGAUGCUUCUGGUCCUGCUGGGACCACUGAACACACAUGGACCUCUCUGCAACUUGAGCACGGGAGGGUCAGGCUGGGUGACAAAGGCAUGAGCAGAGCUGCCCAGGGUGUCUCUGUGCAUGUUCAUCCCAGUCUUAGCAGAGCACAAUUUCAAUCCACGUUUCAGAUUCACCCAGAUGCCUUGGAUAAUUUGUUUUGGAAAACAUAUAUUGAAGUUACCAGAGCCACAGUAUGACAGAAGACUGGGUCCCAGAAUCAGAACUGCAAGGAAAGUCAUGCACUAAUGAAGAAAACAAUUCUUAAGGCUUAUGUGAGCUGAAAACAAACUUGUCAUGUUGCUUCCUUUAUCCAUUUUUAGAAGAUG